rnacentral:rRNA from 1 species
UACGAAGGGUGCAAGCGUUACUCGGAAUUACUGGGCGUAAAGCGUGCGUAGGUGGUGGUUUAAGUCCGUUGUGAAAGCCCUGGGCUCAACCUGGGAAUUGCAGUGGAUACUGGGUCACUAGAGUGUGGUAGAGGGUAGCGGAAUUCCCGGUGUAGCAGUGAAAUGCGUAGAGAUCGGGAGGAACAUCUGUGGCGAAGGCGGCUACCUGGACCAACACUGACACUGAGGCACGAAAGCGUGGGGAGCAAACAGG